GACGAACGCUGGCGGCGUGCUUAACACAUGCAAGUCGAACGGAAAGGCCCUGCUUUUGUGGGGUGCUCGAGUGGCGAACGGGUGAGUAACACGUGAGUAACCUGCCCUUGACUUUGGGAUAACUUCAGGAAACUGGGGCUAAUACCUUAUAGGAGCUCCUGCGGCAUGGUGGGGGUUGGAAAGUUUCGGCGGUUGGGGAUGGACUCGCGGCUUAUCAGCUUGUUGGUGGGGUAGUGGCUUACCAAGGCUUUGACGGGUAGCCGGCCGGAGAGGGUGACCGGCCACAUUGGGACUGAGAUACGGCCCAGACUCCUACGGGAGGCAGCAGUGGGGAAUAUUGCACAAUGGGCGGAAGCCUGAUGCAGCAACGCCGCGUGCGGGAUGACGGCCUUCGGGUUGUAAACCGCUUUCGCCUGUGACGAAGCGUGAGUGACGGUAAUGGGUAAAGAAGCACCGGCUAACUACGUG
rnacentral:rRNA from 1 species